UUUUUUUGUGACUUAGUGGCGGACGGGUGAGUAACGCGUGGGUAACCUGCCUCACACAGGGGGAUAACAGUUGGAAACGACCGCUAAUACCGCAUAACCCGCUAGGGCCGCAUGGCCCGGACGGAAAAGAUUUAUCGGUGUGAGAUGGACCCGCGUUGGAUUAGCUAGUUGGCAGGGUAACGGCCUACCAAGGCGACGAUCCAUAGCCGGCCUGAGAGGGUGAACGGCCACAUUGGGACUGAGACACGGCCCAA
rnacentral:rRNA from 1 species